GAUGAACGUUGGCGGCGUGCCUAACACAUGCAAGUCGAACGAUAGUCGCAAGACUAUAGUGGCGCACGGGUGAGUAACACGUAGCUUACCAGCCUCUCAGCGCGGGAUAACGGCUCGAAAGAGGUGCUAAUACCGCAUAAGCUCACGGGAUGUAGAGACUAGUGAGAAAAGGUGCAAAUCACUGAGAGACGGGGCUGCGGCCCAUCAGCUAGUGGUGCGGUAACGGCGCACCAAGGCGACGACGGGUAGGGGACCUGAGAGGGUGA
rnacentral:rRNA from 1 species